rnacentral:rRNA from 1 species
UACGAAGGGGGCUAGCGUUGCUCGGAAUCACUGGGCGUAAAGCGCACGUAGGCGGAUUGUUAAGUCAGGGGUGAAAUCCUGGAGCUCAACUCCAGAACUGCCUUUGAUACUGGCGAUCUUGAGUCCGGGAGAGGUGAGUGGAACUGCGAGUGUAGAGGUGAAAUUCGUAGAUAUUCGCAAGAACACCAGUGGCGAAGGCGGCGCUCUGGACCGAGACUGACGCUGAGGCGCGAAGGCGUGGGGAGCAAACAGG